rnacentral:rRNA from 1 species
CGGAGGGUGCAAGCGUUAAUCGGAAUUACUGGGCGUAAAGCGCACGCAGGCGGUCAAUUAAGUCAGAUGUGAAAGCCCCGAGCUUAACUUGGGAAUUGCAUCUGAAACUGGAUGACUAGAGUCUUGUAGAGGGGCGUAGAAUUACAUCUGUAGCGGUGAAAUGCGUAGAGAUGUGGAGGAAUACCGCUGGCGAAGGCGGCCCCCUGGACAAAGACUGACGCUCAGGUGCGAAAGCGUGGGGAGCAAACAGGAUUAGAUACCCCGGUAGUACUCGCUGUAAACGAUGUCGAUUUAGAGGUUGUGGUCUUGAACCGUGGCUUCUGGAGCAAACGCGUUAAAUCGACCGCCUGGGGAGUACGGCCGCAAGGUUAAAACUCAAAUGAAUUGACGGGGGCCAAGCGGUGGAGCAUGUGGUCUAAUUUGAUGCAACGCGAAGAACCUUACCUACUCUUGACAUCCAGCGAAUCCUUUAGAGAUAGAGGAGUGCCUUCGGGAACGGUGAGACAGGUGGUGCAUGGCCGUCGUCAGCUCCUGUUGUGAAAAAUUGGGUUAAGUCCCGCAACGAGCGCAACCCUUAUCCUUUGUUGCCAGCACGUAAUGGUGGGAACUCAAAGGAGACUGCCGGUGAUCACCCGUAGGAAUGUGGGGAUGAUGUCAAGUCAUCAUGGGCCUUACGAGUAGGGCUACACACGUGCUACAAUGGCAGAUACAAAGAGAAGCGACCUCGCGAGAGCAAGCGGAA